rnacentral:rRNA from 1 species
AUUGAACGCUGGCGGCAGGCCUAACACAUGCAAGUCGAACGAGUGGCGGACGGGUGAGUAAUGUCUGGGAAACUGCCCGAUGGAGGGGGAUAACUACUGGAAACGGUAGCUAAUACCGCAUACCAUCGGAUGUGCCCAGAUGGGAUUAGCUAGUAGGGGGGGUACCGGCUCACCUAGGCGACGAUCCCUAGCUGGUCUGAGAGGAUGACCAGCCACACUGGAACUUGGACACGGUCCAGACGCCGACGGGAGGCAGAAGUGGGGAAUAUUGCACAAUGGGCGCAAGCCUGAUGCAGCCAUGCCGCGUGUAUGAAGAAGGCCUUCGGGUUGUAAAGUACUUUCAGCGGGGAGGCGUUACCCGCAGAAGAAGCACCGGCUAACCCCGUGGCAGCAGCCGCGGUAAUUC